rnacentral:rRNA from 1 species
UAAUACGUAGGGUGCGAGCGUUGUCCGGAAUUAUUGGGCGUAAAGGGCUCGUAGGCGGUUUGUCGCGUCGGGAGUGAAAACCUACAGCUUAACUGUGGGCUUGCUUUCGAUACGGGCAGACUAGAGGUAUGCAGGGGAGAACGGAAUUCCUGGUGUAGCGGUGAAAUGCGCAGAUAUCAGGAGGAACACCGGUGGCGAAGGCGGUUCUCUGGGCAUGAUCUGACGCUGAGGAGCGAAAGUGUGGGGAGCGAACAGGAUUAGAUACCCUGGUAGUCCACACCGUAAACGUUGGGCGCUAGGUGUGGGAUCCAUUCCACGGGUUCCGUGCCGCAGCUAACGCAUUAAGCGCCCCGCCUGGGGAGUACGGCCGCAAGGCUA